GCAUAUGCUUUAGGGCGUGGCUACGUUGUGAUUGACAACGUUGCUUACGUAACGUAACCAUCGCGUAUAGGCGUGGCUACUGCUAUUUCAGUGUGUUGUCAGUUCGUUGCUAAAGUUAAUUGUAACAUUGUGGUCGCCUAAAAACAGUCUCGUUCAGCGUUUUGCUGUAAUAAAAGAACCAUCAAUGAGUCGUAUGAUCACUUUUUCCGUACAACAUCGAAGGCCAAGAGUUCUCCGUAGAUGAGGAGUGGUGGCAGCCCACGGGGGGGGAUGCGUUGACACUAGUGAGGUCACUGUCCAACUGCAGUCAUGUGACCUUUGAAAUGUGCCGAGGCCCAACACAGACGGUGAAAUGGACCCCUACAAUAUCUACACAGGAAGUCAAACUCCCUCAUGCUGAAGGACAACAGUUGUGCAGCACAGAGUGCUUCUGUUAGCCAGAGAUAAAGAAGAAUGUGGAGGAAAGGUUGUGCAUCGAGCUGAUGGAGAGAAGCUGAAUAUCAGAGGAAGGAUCAGAACAACUGCAAAGCCACUUAAAAGCUAUUGAUUGCGGCUUCAAGAGCCAGGCCUGACGAGCCUCAUUUACAGCGAGCUGGAAACAACCUCUACCGACCAACAGUCAGAGAUGAAGCCUAGACUAAGAGCAGAGGUCCAAGGUGUUGUCAGUUUAACAGUCAUUAAUGUAGAUGUCAAUGCAAGAUGUAUGAGGAUGUUCCAGUUCAGUUGAGUGUACAUGCAAUUUCUUCUUCUGUUAUUUUAUUAGCCUCAGACCUGUGAUCUAAAACUGAGACCUGUGCCCACAUCUGUAAGAGCCGACCACAAUGAACCUGACUGGUACUGACUAAUUUGAGACCUGAACCCAACCCAAGACCAGAGGCGGCUGUAUGUUUGCUUCAUGUCAUUAGUCAGUGGCUUUUAGCUUGCUGGGCUAAUUCAACAUAUUGGGUAGUCUGUCCCUUUCCCUCUUACUACCGGACAUUAACAUAUCUACUUGCAACACAUGACAUCUGUGGACGUAUACUAUUGGCGCAGUCUGAUAGAGAAAAUGUAAAAGAGAGAAGUUUAAUUAUUUACAUUUGAAAACAGACAAAACCUAAAUCAGGCUCUAGCCUGUAGCUAGGACAGAACAAUUGUUUAUAUAUUUAAUGCACAAAGACCGACUGCAUUUAUUUCAUAUCACAAACGUUGCAGUUUUAAUUCUAACUUACAUAAUAGUGUGAACUGUUACAUGCAUAUUUACUCAGCUAUAGCAAAAUCAUUGUAAUUACUGUCAGUUGGAUUACAUACACUGGUGUAUAUAUAUAUAACCAUAUUAAUAUUGUUUAGUAGGGGUGUAAUGGUACGUGUAUUCAUGAACCGUUCGGUACAGGAUGUUUGAUCUGCUCUGUGAUCCAAACAAUUACUGUCAAAAUAGUUUAAUAAUCCACUUACUCCGAUGUUUACUCCGGAACGUUUUGGCAGUGCAUCAUUUCGCUGUAGCCAGAGUCAGCACACUUAACAGUCACUUCUUCUAUCAGUGUCACAUGGGAUCAGCGGCAAGUCCUGAGUCUAUUCACUCCAAAGAGAGGAGUGAACGUGAGCACAGAUUAUUGCAGAUUCUUUCAACCCAUAGUCACAGAAGUAAACCACGCCCACUUAGGAGACAGGAAGUGUAUACCAUUUCAUAUGAUUGGCACAGCUUGUAAUGCAUCAUCUUUUGUUAUAAAGCAUCUUUGCUGUAGCAUGUUCAUGGAUGUAUGCCAGCCAGCUUAGCUAAAGUAGCCUGGUUAUCAUGGUUACCCAUGCUCAUGUAGUGUUGCUGCUGUCAUUAUUAUUAAAAUAUGCGCUGUUAUCCCUGUGUUUAAUAAACAAUAUUGCGUC